GAGAGAGAGAGAGAGAGUAGUUCUUCAAGUGCAUGUAAUUGAAACAGGCCUGACUGUACCUGAUAGGAUUGUUGGUGAACUCUUGCAGCCAUGGGGGCUAUCUGAAAUUGAUUGAAUUGGGUCUUGUGGGCACGUAAGACCUGACCUGACAUCUGCUUUCAUUGAGUUAGUUAAUAGCUAUCGUUAAGUGAAAUAUUUAUUUCAUAAUCUUGACAAUUAUAUAAACUUUAUGUGUGGACAUAGAUUGUGUGGAAUGGAUUGAUGCUCACAAGUAUUCAUUAUGCUAUUUACAAGGAUGGCAAAAGCAC
rnacentral:misc_RNA from 1 species